rnacentral:rRNA from 1 species
UACGGGGGGGGCAAGCGUUGUUCGGAAUUACUGGGCGUAAAGGGCUCGUAGGUGGCCAACUAAGUCAGACGUGAAAUCCCUCGGCUUAACCGGGGAACUGCGUCUGAUACUGGAUGGCUUGAGUUUGGGAGAGGGACGCGGAAUUCCAGGUGUAGCGGUGAAAUGCGUAGAGAUGUGGAGGAACACCGAUGGCGAAGGCAGCCCCCUGGGUCAACACUGACGCUCAUGCACGAAAGCGUGGGGAGCAAACGAAGG